GGGCAUGUGGCGUAGUUNGCCCCCUUAGCAUGGGGGAGGUCUUCGGUUCGAAUCCGGACUUGUCCA
rnacentral:tRNA from 1 species